GUUUCCUGCCAGGUGGGUGCCUGAGGUUCCUGCUGGAGGGCCCUACAGCAUCCCAUAGAAGCACUCUCCUGGUCUCAGCAGCUGAGGCCCCUCCAAACCUGCUUCUGCAAUGGGUGGGUUGUAAGCACUGGUAAUGAGGAGCUGUGGGUCCAGUCAGUCUUGGAGAUGCCGAAGAGACGAGACAUCCUGGCUAUCGUGCUGAUAGUUCUGCCCUGGACACUACUAAUCACCGUCUGGCACCAGAGCACCAUUGCUCCACUGCUUGCAGUGCACAAGGCCAUUCCCAUCUCAGCUCCCGGUCCAUGCUCAUGCAGAAGCUUCCCCACUUCUGCUGCAGGAAGCAGCCCUGUGCUUUCCAGGUGUCUUUGGAGACAUCAACCUCCAAGCCACAGGAUGUGCUCCCUACUCUUGGAGAGCUCUUCCCCACCUAUAUCCAGAUUCAGUGGAACAGAGCACAGAAGGAAAGUACUUCUUUUUUUUUUAAUUUCCCAAUUAUCUCUUUUUUUUUUUUUUAAGGAAGGAGUCUUUCUUCUUGGCUGUUCCUUUCUCUGGGCAUCCUUCUGGGGAAGAAGGCCAGCUCAUUUUCUGUCUCUAGGACCUUGCUUGGGGAGACUUUCUACCCUUUUCAUUUUAAUGUUCACUCCCAUCCUCAGCAGUUUCUUAUUCUUUUGCUGAGCAGUCUGGUGUGCCAUUGGAAUUGUCAGAAGCUCAGAGUCCAUCCUAAGAAGUUUUACCUUUUCCUGGAGGACUCAGACUUCCACAAGGCUUAGGACAGCUCUUAAGAGAAAGGAGAUUGAUCUUCUCCAAAAGGUGAACAGUAUUUCACAGGAUCUGGGAUCUCUAUGGGGUUUAGAAAAAUAUCCUGUCUGUAUAGUGAUUUGAAUCGGUGCUACUAAAAACUAGGACCAGGUUGUUGGUGAAUUGCUGUGACUUCAAUGUCUACGGCCAAGAGACAGCCCUGCUGUGACCUGGUCCUGAACUUGCUGGUGCCCUUGGUAAGAUGCUUCCUCUGAGAGUGCUUCUAUGAGCGCUCAGUGGAAAAUGAGUGGUGAAAGAGACCGACCUGAAGCUCUUGGGAGAAAUUGUUAUGUGCUUGUAAUGCAUUUCUGAGAUCCUUUGGUAGCAGGUGCUGAAAAUGAGAUGUUCAUCUAUAUGCUAGUGGGAACACAGUGACAGUGGAUAAAUGUGUCAGGAUUUACAGCUGAGGAUUUGAUCUGAGAGGGUUUGCAAACUAUCUCAUGUCUCCUUCAGGCUCCAUCCUGGCUAAUUACCUUGUGCCCGUGUCCAAUGCAUUUUGCAGUUUCAUUUUUAGGUUGAUUCUGGUGCUCUGUGCUGUCAGAGAGCUCUGUUAUGCAAUGCAGAUGUGCUUCACCCU
rnacentral:lncRNA from 1 species